rnacentral:lncRNA from 1 species
UGAGCAUCCACCAGAGAGUGCGCGAGAGCUGCAGUACCCACCAGGCUGAGCGCUCCAGUUUGCGCUUGCGCACAAGCGCUCCUCCCGCCCCAAGCAGAUCGUGCUGCCAGCUGCUGCUCUCCAGAGAAGUGAUGCCUAGGUCCCUGGAGGGAACAGUGGGUGUAUACGGACUUUGGACUACUUUACUUACCUCUCCUGAUUUAUAACCUGCCUUACCUGAUUUGUUGACAUCAGUGUAGAAGAUAUUUAACGUGCCUGGUGAGUGUUCCAGCAUCUGUUAUAUGAGAGAGUUGAAGCACAUAAAUUACCAGUCUGCAUUCUCCAGGCUCCAAUCAUGUGAUUUCAGGCUUUGGAGGAAGUAUGAUGUUGUGUCUCUUCAGCCUUGUGGAAAGGAUUUAACAAGCAGCUUAGUAUGUAAGGGCAGCUGCUCUUAUUUCAGAAUAAUAUGACAACUGUGUAUCUAAAUGACUCUUCUGUGUCUAAUAAAGCCAAAAUGAGA